UUAGGUGCCAGUUANUUAAGUUUAGGCACUUAAAGAGACUGCCUCGGUUAACGAGGAGGAAGGUGGGGAUGACGUCAAGUCCUCAUGGCCUUUAUACCCAGGGCUACACACGUGCUACAAUGGGCUGUACAAAGGGUCGCCAAUUCGCGAGGAUGCGCUAAUCCCAAAAAGCAGCUCUCAGAUUGGAGUCUGCAACUCGACUCCAUGAAGGUGGAUCGCUAGUAAUCGUGAUCAGCAUGCCACGGUGAUA
rnacentral:rRNA from 1 species